UACGUAGGUGGCAAGCGUUGUCCGGAAUUACUGGGUGUAAAGGGAGCGUAGGCGGGGAUGCAAGUUGAAUGUAUAAACGGUCGGCUCAACCGGCCGAAGCGUUCAAAACUGCAGUUCUUGAGUGGAGUAGAGGCAGGCGGAAUUCCUAGUGUAGCGGUGAAAUGCGUAGAUAUUAGGAGGAACACCAGUGGCGAAGGCGGCCUGCUGGGCUUUAACUGACGCUGAGGCUCGAAAGCGUGGGUAGCAAACAG
rnacentral:rRNA from 1 species